UGCCCAUGGACUGUCCUCUUCC
rnacentral:miRNA from 1 species